rnacentral:rRNA from 1 species
AACGAACGCUGGCGGCAUGCCUAACACAUGCAAGUCGAACGAGACCUUCGGGUCUAGUGGCGCACGGGUGCGUAACGCGUGGGAAUCUGCCUAAAGGUUCGGAAUAACAGUUAGAAAUGACUGCUAAUACCGGAUGAUGUCUUCGGACCAAAGAUUUAUCGCCUUUAGAUGAGCCCGCGUAGGAUUAGCUUGUUGGUGGGGUAAAGGCCUACCAAAGCGACGAUCCUUAGCUGGUCUGAGAGGAUGAUCAGCCACACUGGGACUGAGACACGGCCCAGACUCCUACGGGAGGCAGCAGUGGGGAAUAUUGGACAAUGGGCGAAAGCCUGAUCCAGCAAUGCCGCGUGAGUGAUGAAGGCCUUAGGGUUGCAAAGCUCUUUUACCCGGGAUGAUAAUGACAGUACCGGGAGAAUAAGCCCCGGCUAACUCCGUGCCAGCCGCCGCGGUAAGAC